rnacentral:rRNA from 1 species
CGCUGAGUUUGAUCCUGGCUCAGGAUGAACGCUAGCGGCAGGCUUAACACAUGCAAGUCGAGGGGUAUAGUUCUUCGGAACUAGAGACCGGCGCACGGGUGCGUAACGCGUAUGCAAUCUACCUUUACAGAGGGAUAGCCCAGAGAAAUUUGGAUUAAUACCUCAUAGUAUUUUCGAAUCGCAUGAUUUGAUUAUUAAAGUUCCAACGGUAAAAGAUGAGCAUGCGUCCCAUUAGCUAGAUGGUAAGUAACCGGCUUACCAUGGCGACGGAUGGGGUAGGGGUCCUGAGAGGGACGAUCCCCCACACUGGUACUGAGACACGGACCAGACUCGUACGGGA